UUUAUUUUUAACUUUGACGGAAAAAUAAAUUUAACGUGUUAUUUAUAUAGAUGUGAAUGCCUUAGGUGAUGGUACUAUUGGCCAGAUCGAUGGUACUAUUGGCCAGAUCGACAAGCCUCAACCAAAGAAAGGGUAUCCAUACAAACCUUAUCCAAAGAAAGGGUAUCCAUACAAACCUUAUCCAAAGAAAGGGUAUCCAUACAAACCUUAUCCACGGAAGAAAAAGCCACCACCCAAGAAGAAGAAGCCACCGACGUAAAAGCCUUGUUAUCAAUACAAGUCCCAUGCUUAUGAAACAAGUAGUUCUUGAAAAUGGAUUUCUGUACGUGUGGACAAUAAAUGUUCUCGAU
rnacentral:lncRNA from 1 species